GUCGUACGGCAGUUCGGGUAGCAAUAUCUGAACGAGAGUGGCGCACGGGUGCGUAACGCGUAUGCAACCUACCUUUUACAGGGGGAUAGCCCGGGGAAACCCGGAUUAAUACCCCAUGUUAUCCCGGAGCCGCAUGGCUUUCGGGAUCAAAGAUUUAUCGGUAAGAGAUGGGCAUGCGUAGGAUUAGCUAGUUGGCGGGGUAACGGCCCACCAAGGCGAUGAUCCUUAGGGGUUCUGAGAGGAAGGCCCCCCACACUGGCACUGAGAUACGGGCCAGACUCCUACGGGAGGCAGCAGUAGGGAAUAUUGGGCAAUGGGCGAAAGCCUGACCCAGCCAUGCCGCGUGCAGGAAGACGGCGUUAUGCGUUGUAAACUGCUUUUAUACGGGAAGAAAAGGUCCAUGCGUGGAAAAUUGCCGGUACCGUAUGAAUAAGCACCGGCUAACUCCGUGCCAGCAGCCGCGGUAAUACGGAGGGUGCGAGCGUUGUCCGGAUUUAUUGGGUUUAAAGGGUGCGUAGGCGGCCCGUUAAGUCAGCGGUGAAAGUCAGUGGCUCAACCAUUGGAGUGCCGUUGAUACUGUCGGGCUUGAGUACGGGAAGGGUACAUGGAAUUUAUGGAGUAGCGGUGAAAUGCAUAGAUACCAUAAGGAACACCGAUAGCGUAGGCAUUGUACUAGCCCGAAACUGACGCUGAGGCACGAAAGCGCGGGUAGCGAACAGGAUUAGAUACCCUGGUAGUCCGCGCCGUAAACGAUGAUCACUCGCUGUUGUUCCCUAAGCGGAGCAGCGGCCAAGC
rnacentral:rRNA from 1 species